rnacentral:lncRNA from 1 species
CAGACAUCGAAGAGGAAGCUGGGUGGAAGAGGAAAAGAGAAAGUUUCCUUUUCACUCCAAUAACAUCAGGAACUGGUGCAAAGGACAGCCAGCCACUGCAUGGAGGAAACACUAUGCAAAGGACAGCCAGCCCCUGCAUGGAGGCAACACUGUGCAAAGGACAGCCAGCCCCUGCGUGGAGGUUGGCGAUGUUUUCUGUAAGCCAUCCCUGGCAGUUCAUGUGGGUAGAGGCUGGAAACCUUUGUGAUGCAUGGCAGCACCACACAGAGGGAAUAGAGAUAUGGGAAGAACACACCAGCAAGUAAGUAACAAGGCCCUUAGUGCCAAUGAUUAAGGGAAGAGAAGUAGCCGUAUAUUUAUAUGCAUGUGAUUUGUGUGAACGUUUCUUCCCUUUGCAAAAAGAACAAUGCAAAAGCAACUCCUCUUCUCAGAGAAACCUGAGGAAGGCUUCUGGGAAGGCCUGGCUUCUUGGCUUUCAGAGUUCUCACUUGAGGAAAGUGAUUCACUUGCUCCACGGGUUUGUUUUGGUGUUUGUUUCUCACGGGCUUGAUAAAAUGCAUCUUUCUCUAUGUGCAGUUCUCCUGGAAUGAAACACUUCAAGUACAUAGCCUUCUGGCAUGGCUGGCUUUCUCACAGAAGUAAGAAUGUGCUGUUGGCAUGGGGGCUGGAACCGCGGAGUGAAGGUGUGAUCACAAGAGGACUAAGGCAUUUCAGCAAUGGAAGUGAAGGUGACCAAGGGAAGAACAGAGCAGUUGGAGCCUGUACUACCUUGUGACUCUAACUUCAGGUCUCAGUACAGGAGGCCUCUUGGAUCUGUGUCACGAGCCCACGGACUACGUUGCAAAAGGAAACAUGAGAGAUUGAGCUGCAGUCUCAAGGAAGAUCCUGUUGGUCCCUGUGUCAGCUCUGCACAGAACGCUGACAUUUCCUGUCUGGGAUGGAGUGAGAGGGGCUUCACUGGGCGACUGACUGGUAGCUUCUCGUUAGCAGUAGACCUUUUGGAGUCUGACUCCUUUGCUGUGCCCCUUCUCUCUUCCCUCUCCAUUCACACCUUCUCUGUCACUCACCUCACUCUUGCCUCUGAGGACCAGGAGUGUGAAUCCGAGCUUUGGAGAGCUGGAUGAGGAAGAGUAGUUUUCUCUUUUCUCUUACAUAUGAAGUGGCUUCUCUUUCUGUUUAUAUCUUCAUGUGAACAUUCUGGAGGGCAGAGUGGCAUUAGAAGAUGCUGAAGGCAGAGAUAAUACUUCAUGAUUAGUGCAUUCAUACAUUGUCUCCAUCUCAAGAAGCUUCAUUAACCCAGACUUGUUUACAUAUUUCUUGCAGUGACUCUGAACACAGAUAAUUAAUAAUGUGCUAAAACCCUAAAGUGGAAAAAUAAAUAAUUUUAAUUCA